UUAAGUUAGAAAGGGCGCACGGUGAAUGCCUUGGCACUAGGAGCCGAUGAAGGACGGGACUAACACCGAUAUGCUUCGGGGAGCUGUAAGUGAGCUUUGAUCCGGAGAUUUCCGAAUGGGGAAACCCACUGUUCGUAAUGGAACAGUAUCUUUAUCUGAAUACAUAGGAUAUUGAAGGCAGACCCGGGGAACUGAAACAUCUAAGUACCCGGAGGAAGAGAAAGCAAAUGCGAUUUCCUGAGUAGCGGCGAGCGAAACGGAAUUAGCCCAAACCAAGAGGCUUGCCUCUUGGGGUUGUAGGACACUCUAUACGGAGUUACAAAGGAACGAAGUAAAUGAAGCGACCUGGAAAGGUCCGUCGAAGAAGGUAACAACCCUGUAGUUGAAACUUCGUUCCCUCUUGAGUGGAUCCUGAGUACGGCGGAACACGUGAAAUUCCGUCGGAAGCUGGGAGGACCAUCUCCCAAGGCUAAAUACUACCUAGUGACCGAUAGUGAACCAGUACCGUGAGGGAAAGGUGAAAAGCACCCCGGAAGGGGAGUGAAAGAGAUCCUGAAACCGUGUGCCUACAAGUAGUCAGAGCCCGUUAACGGGUGAUGGCGUGCCUUUUGUAGAAUGAACCGGCGAGUUACGAUCCCAUGCAAGGUUAAGCUGAUAAGGCGGAGCCGUAGCGAAAGCGAGUCUGAAUAGGGCGUUUAGUAUGUGGUUGUAGACCCGAAACCAGGUGAUCUACCCAUGUCCAGGGUGAAGUUCAGGUAACACUGAAUGGAGGCCCGAACCCACGCACGUUGAAAAGUGCGGGGAUGAGGUGUGGGUAGCGGAGAAAUUCCAAUCGAACCUGGAGAUAGCUGGUUCUCUCCGAAAUAGCUUUAGGGCUAGCCUCAUGUUGUGAGAGUCUUGGAGGUAGAGCACUGAUUGGACUAGGGGCCCCCAACGGGUUACCGAAUUCAGUCAAACUCCGAAUGCCAAAGACUUAUCCAUGGGAGUCAGACUGCGAGUGAUAAGAUCCGUAGUCAAAAGGGAAACAGCCCAGACCACCAGCUAAGGUCCCCAAGUAUACGUUAAGUGGAAAAGGAUGUGGAGUUGCUUAGACAACCAGGAUGUUGGCUUAGAAGCAGCCACCAUUUAAAGAGUGCGUAAUAGCUCACUGGUCGAGUGACUCUGCGCCGAAAAUGUACCGGGGCUAAACGUAUCACCGAAGCUGUGGAUUGACAUCUUAGAUGUCAGUGGUAGGAGAGCGUUCUAAGUGCAGCGAAGUCAGACCGUAAGGACUGGUGGAGCGCUUAGAAGUGAGAAUGCCGGUAUGAGUAGCGAAAGACAAGUGAGAAUCUUGUCCACCGAAUGCCUAAGGUUUCCUGAGGAAGGCUCGUCCGCUCAGGGUUAGUCGGGACCUAAGCCGAGGCUGAAAAGCGUAGGCGAUGGCCAACAGGUUGAUAUUCCUGUACCACCUCCCCGCCGUUUGAGUAAUGGGGGGACGCAGUAGGAUAGGGUAAGCGCGCUGCUGGAUAUGCGCGUUCAAGCAGUUAGGCUGAUGAGUAGGCAAAUCCGCUCAUCAUAAAGGCUGAGCUGUGAUGACGAGGGAAUUAUAGUACCGAAGUUCCUGAUUCCACACUGCCAAGAAAAGCCUCUAGCGAGGCGGGAGGUGCCCGUACCGCAAACCGACACAGGUAGGCGAGGAGAGAAUCCUAAGGUGAUCGAGAGAACUCUCGUUAAGGAACUCGGCAAAAUGACCCCGUAACUUCGGGAGAAGGGGUGCUCUGGUAGGGUGUAUAGCCCGAGAGAGCCGCAGUGAAUAGGCCCAGGCGACUGUUUAGCAAAAACACAGGUCUCUGCGAAGCCGCAAGGCGAAGUAUAGGGGCUGACGCCUGCCCGGUGCUGGAAGGUUAAGAGGAGGGGUUAUCCUUUGGGAGAAGCUCUGAAUCGAAGCCCCAGUAAACGGCGGCCGUAACUAUAACGGUCCUAAGGUAGCGAAAUUCCUUGUCGGGUAAGUUCCGACCCGCACGAAAGGCGUAACGAUCUGGGCACUGUCUCAACGAGAGACUCGGUGAAAUUAUAGUACCUGUGAAGAUGCAGGUUACCCGCGACAGGACGGAAAGACCCCGUGGAGCUUUACUGUAGCCUGAUAUUGAAUUUUGGUACAGCUUGUACAGGAUAGGUAGGAGCCUGAGAAGCCGGAGCGCUAGCUUCGGUGGAGGCGUCGGUGGGAUACUACCCUGGCUGUAUUGAAAUUCUAACCCGCGGCCCUGAUCGGGCCGGGAGACAGUGUCAGGUGGGCAGUUUGACUGGGGCGGUCGCCUCCUAAAAUGUAACGGAGGCGCCCAAAGGUUCCCUCAGAAUGGUUGGAAAUCAUUCGUAGAGUGUAAAGGCACAAGGGAGCUUGACUGCGAGACCUACAAGUCGAGCAGGGACGAAAGUCGGGCUUAGUGAUCCGGUGGUUCCGCAUGGAAGGGCCAUCGCUCAACGGAUAAAAGCUACCCCGGGGAUAACAGGCUUAUCUCCCCCAAGAGUCCACAUCGACGGGGAGGUUUGGCACCUCGAUGUCGGCUCAUCGCAUCCUGGGGCUGUAGUCGGUCCCAAGGGUUGGGCUGUUCGCCCAUUAAAGCGGUACGCGAGCUGGGUUCAGAACGUCGUGAGACAGUUCGGUCCCUAUCCGUCGUGGGCGUAGGAAAUUUGAGAGGAGCUGUCCUUAGUACGAGAGGACCGGGAUGGACACACCGCUGGUGUACCAGUUGUCUUGCCAAAGGCAUCGCUGGGUAGCUAUGUGUGGACGGGAUAAGUGCUGAAAGCAUCUAAGCAUGAAGCCCCCCUCAAGAUGAGAUUUCCCAUAGCGCAAGCUAGUAAGAUCCCUGAAAGAUGAUCAGGUUGAUAGGUCAGAGGUGGAAGCGUGGCGACAUGUGUAGCUGACUGAUACUAAUCGAUCGAGGACUUAACCAA
rnacentral:rRNA from 2 species